ACGAACGCUGGCGGCGUGCCUAAUACAUGCAAGUCGAGCGGACCGACGGGAGCUUGCUCCCUUAGGUCAGCGGCGGACGGGUGAGUAACACGUGGGUAACCUGCCUGUAAGACUGGGAUAACUCCGGGAAACCGGGGCUAAUACCGGAUGCUUGUUUGAACCGCAUGGUUCAAACAUAAAAGGUGGCUUUUCGCUACCACUUACAGAUGGACCCGCGGCGCAUUAGCUAGUUGGUGGGGUAACGGCUCACCAAGGCGACGAUGCGUAGCCGACCUGAGAGGGUGAUCGGCCACACUGGGACUGAGACACGGCCCAGACUCCUACGGGAGGCAGCAGUAGGGAAUCUUCCGCAAUGGACGAAAGUCUGACGGAGCAACGCCGCGUGAGUGAUGAAGGUUUUCGGAUCGUAAAACUCUGUUGUUAGGGAAGAACAAGUACCGUUCGAACAGGGCGGUACCUUGACGGUACCUAACCAGAAAGCCACGGCUAACUACGUGCCAGCAGCCGCGGUAAUACGUAGGUGGCCAGCGUUGUCCGGAAUUAUUGGGCGUAAAGCGCGCGCAGGCGGUUUUUUAAGUCUGAUGUGAAAGCCCCCGGCUCAACCGGGGAGGGUCAUUGGAAACUGGGGAACUUGAGUGCAGAAGAGGAGAGUGGAAUUCCACGUGUAGCGGUGAAAUGCGUAGAGAUGUGGAGGAACACCAGUGGCGAAGGCGACUCUCUGGUCUGUAACUGACGCUGAGGCGCGAAAGCGUGGGGAGCGAACAGGAUUAGAUACCCUGGUAGUCCACGCCGUAAACGAUGAGUGCUAAGUGUUAGAGGG
rnacentral:rRNA from 1 species